GCCGGUCUAGUUCAGUGGCAGAAUGGCAGCCUUAUAAGCUGCGCGCCAGAGGUUCGAUUCCUUUGACCUGCACCA
rnacentral:tRNA from 4 species